CGCCAGCAGCCGCGGUAAGACGGAGGGGGCGAGCGUUGUCCGGAAUUACUGGGCGUAAAGGGCGCGUAGGCGGUGGCGUACGGCGGUGGUGAAAGCUCCUGGCUUAACUAGGAGAGGCCCGCCGCAACGGCGUCACUCGAGGAUGGUAGAGGCAGAUGGAAUUCCUGGUGUAGCGGUGAAAUGCGUAGAGAUCAGGAGGAACACCCGUGGCGAAGGCGGUCUGCUGGGCCAUUUCUGACGCUGAGGCGCGAAAGCGAGGGGAGUGAACGGGAUUAGAUACCCCGGUAAUCCUCGCCGUAAACGAUGGAAACUAGGUGUCCCCGGUAUCGACCCCGGGGGUGCCGCAGCUAACGCGUUAAGUUUCCCGCCUGGGGAGUACGGCCGCAAGGUUGAAACUCAAAGGAAUUGACGGGGGCCCGCACAAGG
rnacentral:rRNA from 1 species